AGAAUGAUAGCUGCAAGGAAGUGCUUGGCGCACGGGCUGACUAUCACU
rnacentral:ncRNA from 1 species